rnacentral:rRNA from 1 species
UGGCGGACGGGUGAGUAACGCGUGGGUAACCUGCCUCAUACAGGGGAUAACAGUUAGAAAUGGCUGCUAAUACCGCAUAAGACCACAGCACCGCAUGGUGCAGGGGUAAAAACUCCGGUGGUAUGAGAUGGACCCGCGUCUGAUUAGCUGGUUGGUGGGGUAACGGCCUACCAAGGCGACGAUCAGUAGCCGACCUGAGAGGGUGACCGGCCACAUUGGGACUGGGACACGGCCCAA